GCAUAUCAAUAAGCGGAGGAAAAGAAACCAACAGGGAUUACCUCAGUAACGGCGAAGUGAAGCGGUAACAGCUCAAAUUUGAAAUCUGGCUCUUUCAGGGUCCGAGUUGUAAUUUGUAGACGAUGCUUUGGGUGUGGUGCCGGUCUAAGUUCCUUGGAACAGGACGUCAUAGAGGGUGAGAAUCCCGUAUGUGAUCGGUCGCCUUCGCCCGUGUAAAGCUCGUUCGACGAGUCGAGUUGUUUGGGAAUGCAGCUCAAAAUGGGUGGUAAAUUUCAUCUAAAGCUAAAUAUUGGCCAGAGACCGAUAGCGCACAAGUAGAGUGAUCGAAAGAUGAAAAGCACUUUGGAAAGAGAGUUAAACAGUACGUGAAAUUGUUGAAAGGGAAGCGCUUGCAACCAGACUUGGGCUGUCGCAAUCAUCCGGGGCUCGCCCCGGUGCACUUGUGGCGGCACAGGCCAGCAUCAGUUUCGGUGGUGGGAUAAAGGCCUUGGGAAUGUAGCUUCUUUCGGGGAGUGUUAUAGCCCUCGGUGCAAUGCCGCCUACCGGGACUGAGGAACGCGCUUCGGCGAGGAUGCUGGCGUAAUGGUUGUAAGCGACCCGUCUUGAAACACGGACCAAGGAGUCUAACAUCUAUGCGAGUGUUUGGGUGUCAAACCCAUACGCGUAAUGAAAGUGAACGGAGGUGAGAACCCGUUAGGGUGCAUCAUCGACCGAUCCUGAUGUCUUCGGAUGGAUUUGAGUAAGAGCAUAGCUGUUGGGACCCGAAAGAUGGUGAACUAUGCCUAAAUAGGGUGAAGCCAGAGGAAACUCUGGUGGAGGCUCGCAGCGGUUCUGACGUGCAAAUCGAUCGUCAAAUUUGGGUAUAGGGGCGAAAGACUAAUCGAACCAUCUAGUAGCUGGUUCCUGCGA
rnacentral:rRNA from 1 species